AUGCAGCUGGAACAGUAAUUGCUCAGUCUGCGCUAUUUCACAGCUGCUCCUGUUCUCCUGGCACCAAAUCCUUUCUGUCCUAUUUUAAUUUUAUCCUCGCUCUGGGAUAAAAUGAAAUGGAGCUCCGGUCAUUUGCCUGUUUCUGAAGGGAGGUGUUGAAUAAAGCCAUGCCUGAGGAUGAGCUGGAAAGUGUUUUCCUUUAAAUCUAGUCUUGGCAUCAACCUGGUUCUGAGUGCCAGAUGGCAAAUAGUUUCCCUGCAGAUUGCAGAAGUGUCUCGGAAUGGAUGUUUUACCUGGGCUGGCUGGAAAUAGAAGCUCUGGGAUCUGUGGUCUGGAGUCUCUGUCUGACACUUCCGACAGAAGAGAGGAGGAGACCUGUUUAUCUACUGCAACACCUGAUCCAGUGGUGAGCGUGACAAAGAGUCUGUGAACUCCAAAAGCAAGAAAAUGACUUCAGAUUUUGCCAAUGACUGAAUGUAUGAGCUUGAAAUAACCUGUGUAAUUUUGGCUUCAACUGAUCCACAUUAGUGUUACCAUGUAAGUUCUUUUUACAAAUGAUCAAAAUAUUUAGCUUCCUAUUAAUUUUACUCUCGCGUACUGUGAAAUAUUGUUUAGCAUGGGGUUUAAUUUUCUUUUUAUUACUGCAAUGCCAUGAUUAUAACAUGUUUGAAGGUAAUUCAGAGCUUCACUGAAUACAGGGAAAUAAGAAGGAAGUCAUCACUACAAUGUUUUCUAUAGCCUGAGUACUUUUGUCUCGUUAUUUUUCCCUAACAAGGAGUUUAUUGUAGUAAUUAUUUAUUCAGGGCACCUGAAAUUAUGUUUCAUUUAAAAAUCAGGUCACCCAAGAACACCAAAACUAGACAAGGCAUUAAAAUACAUUUAAUGAAACCUCCAACAAAUGAAACUGGUGGGACAGAGAGGUUUUCAGAAGGGGCUGUAGUUCAAACUGCUUAUUAAGAUAACUUCCUGUGGAGCAGUUUACCUCUCAUGUUGGUUUUUAUAUUCUUUCCUUGUCUUGUUUUUAUUUGGCAGUAAAAAUACAUCCUGUCCUGUUUUGUAAGACCUGGAACUAAGAGUAACUUAUGCAGCACAUAAAAAGUUUUUAAAGUCAUUUCAUGUGAAAAACAUUUAAAAAAUGAUCAAACAUGUCUAGGACUUCAUUUAUUGCCAAAUUCAGUCAGCCACCUAGAAAAAUGUAGGGAAUUCUUACAAAUAUACUAACUAGGUCUGAUAUUUAUGUUGGUGGGAGUUCUGAAUGAGCAGAAACAGCAGAAAAGCUUAACAGUUCAGCCCAGUUAGAUGCUUGCAAAAACCUUACAGGAAGAUUCAUA